rnacentral:rRNA from 1 species
UGCAAGUCGAACGGUAACAUUGGUGCUUGCACCAGAUGACGAGUGGCGCACGGGUGCGUAACGCGUAUGCAAUCUACCUUUUACUGAAGAAUAGCCCAGAGAAAUUUGGAAUAAUCCUUCAUAAUAUCAUUUAUCAGCAUUGAUUUAUGAUUAAAGCUCCGGCGGUAAAAGAUGAGCAUGCGUCCUAUUAGUUUGUUGGUGAGGUAACGGCUCACCAAGACUACGAUAGGUAGGGGCCCUGAGAGGGGGAUCCCCCACACUGGUACUGAGACACGGACCAGACUCCUACGGGAGGCAGCAGUGAGGAAUAUUGGACAAUGGAGGCAACUCUGAUCCAGCCAUGCCGCGUGAAGGAUGACUGCCCUAUGGGUUGUAAACUGCUUUUAUAUAGGAAGAAACACUCCCACGUGUGGGGGCUUGACGGUACUAUAUGAAUAAGGAUCGGCUAACUCCGUGCCAGCAGCCGCGGUAAUACGGAGGAUCCAAGCGUUAUCCGGAAUCAUUGGGUUUAAAGGGUCCGCAGGCGGCCUGUUAAGUCAGAGGUGAAAGCCAACAGCUCAACUGUUGAACUGCCUUUGAUACUGAUAGGCUUGAGUUAUUGUGAAGUGGUUAGAAUGUGUGGUGUAGCGGUGAAAUGCUUAGAUAUCACACAGAAUACCCAUUGCGAAGGCAGAUCACUAACAAUAUACUGACGCUCAUGGACGAAAGCGUGGGGAGCGAACGGGAUUAGAUACCCCGGUAGUCCACGCCGUANACGAUGGAUACUAACUGUUCGACCUUCGGGUUGAGUGGUCAAGCGAAAGUGAUAAGUAUCCCACCUGGGGAGUACGCUCGCAAGAGUGAAAC